UGAGGAAUUUUGCGCAAUGGGGGAAACCCUGACGCAGCGACGCCGCGUGGAGGAUGAAGGCCUUCGGGUCGUAAACUCCUGUCAGAGGUGAAGAAUGCCCGCAAGGGUUUGACGGUAACCUCAGAGGAAGCCCCGGCUAACUACGUGCCAGCAGCCGCGGUAAUACGUAGGGGGCAAACGUUACUCGGAAUUACUGGGCGUAAAGGGUGCGUAGGUGGCUGGGAAAGUCAAGGAUGAAAUCCCGUGGCUCAACUGCGGAACGGUCCUUGAAACUACUCGGCUUGAGGAUAACCGAAGAGAACGGAAUUCCCGGUGGAGCGGUGAAAUGCGUAGAUAUCGGGAGGAACACCUGAGGCGAAAGCGGUUCUCUAGACUACUCCUGACGCUGAGGCACGAAAGCUAGGGGAGCAAACGG
rnacentral:rRNA from 1 species